CUUAAUUCCUUGGCAAGCAGGAGAUGGGAACUUGUUUAGACAUGUAGACGUGAUGCUGUGGAGAUGACAGAUAGCUGCUGCUCUGCAGACAGCUCAGCUCUAAAACACAGCACAAGGGGGGCUGGGAUGCAGAACAGAACAUCCCACAGCCGAUCCCUCUGCACUGAGCCCUGCAGCGUGUCCUCCAUCCUCCAAACAGCACGGAAGUGGCUGAAGACUUUCCCUUCCAGCACUCCCUGCAUGGAGCAGGGCUUGGCUGGCCCUCCGUAGGAUUUCCUCAUUCCUUCUGCAGCCAUUGGGGCCAUUUACUCUUCCUGAAGAGCACCACAACGUUCCCAACCCUUAUGGGAGAGAGGAGCUCAGGAAGCACCACUGCUUCCAUCACAUCUGCCACAGACCUGUGGGUUGGGGUGUGCAGAGGGGAAUGGAAGGACAGCAGCAAGCAUGCAUUUCCUGCUCAGCCCCUCAGAACCCAGACUUUCAUCGACCACCAUCUCCCUCCCCUCCAGCCAAGUGAAAUCCUCUGGAUCUCAGCCGGGCUUCAGAUGGAGGAGCUGAGAGAACAGCAUCAACUCAGCCCAGAAGCAUUUCAGCCAUCAGUCUUUCGCACCGAAUGCGCUCCUGCCUCAAACCCGCUGCUGUCACAUCAAUCAUUUAAAUUUGAGAGGCUAAAGAACCUAAAAUGAAGUUCCCUCGAUGCACCAUUAACCUUCUUAUGUAUCUACUGCUUUCAACCAAGCUGCAGCAAACCCUUCUCAGACCACUCUUCCUAAACACCAAGCACCCAGAUCCCUCCAAGCAAACAAGGUCAGGCAGCCAAGAACAUUUAUCCUCCAAAGCAAAACCACAUAACGCUCCUGACACAACAUUCCCAAUGUCCCAUCCUUCUUAGCAAGGAACAUAAACCCCAGAAGCAGCCCAGUACCUGUCCUGCAGAGCCCAGACAUUCUUCAGCCCCCAUCAGAUGAUUUCUUUGCUCUUUUUAAUGAAAAAAAAAAAAGGAAAGAAUGACCACGUGAGAGCAACUUUUAGCACCUACUGCCUCCAGAGCCCAACACUUCUACAGGAAAACAAGCCUACAGCUGAUACAGACCUGCCCCUCAGCACCUAUACUGAUGGGCCAUGUGCUUCUCAUUAGUAAUUAAGCACAGGAGGUCAGGGACCUCGCUUGAUUCCAAACUGCUUUUUCAGUAUUGGAGAACUGACAGGUCACAACAAAAGGCAAAUUGCAGCUGGAUGCUGCAGGUACUGCUGGGAUCCUGGUAACAAUUCUUGCCCAGGGAGGGCUGGGGUGGCUGUCCCAGCAGACUGAUGGCUUUG
rnacentral:lncRNA from 1 species